GUCUCUCGCUGACGCCAGAGAUCCAGCUAUCGUCUUCACUGCUCUGUGCCGUCAGCUCCUAGAGGCCCAGCCUCUGUGGCCCUGUGACCUGCAGGUAUUAGGAGGGUCACAGCUAGGACGCCGGGACCCCCUGGAAGCCUAGAAAUGAACGGGGAAGAUAACCGAAGGGUGGUUUGAGAAACCCACCAGGCCAACUGGGAAUUAGAAUUGAUUCAAAACUCCAUUGAUCGCCUGACCUCCAUAAGCUCCUACUCUGCUGCAGUUGAGUGCUGCCACUUAAAUCCUGCAGUCCCGAGAUCCGGUUAUAACCAAUGCAUUUAGAUUUUUCAUUUCGGUGGCAACAAUCUUCAUUGUAAGUUCUGUCCUACAGAGAAGUGUGGUGAUCAAGCUCUUUGGAGAUACUGGGACUCCUCUCACAAAUGUAUGUCUCACAGUUAUGAUGAAUGGUGUAUCUCCUGGAUCUUCCUCAGUUGAGUAUGUUUUAAAGGAAAAAUACACUUUAUCAUUCA
rnacentral:lncRNA from 1 species